GCAAACUUGGUCAUUUAGAGGAAGUACAAGUCGUAACAAGGUUUCCGUAGGUGAACCUGCGGAAGGAUCAUUAACAGAUCGGUGGUGGUGGUGGGUGGUAGUAUAUAUUUAUAUGUUCCUACCCACCCACCCUACCAUUACAUGUGCGCUCCAGCAGUUUGCUUGGAUGCACGAAAUUUACACGCUUUUAUUGUCAUUAGUUAUAUGUGGGCUAUUGUAAUUCUAGUACAACUUUUAACAAUGGAUCUCUUGGCUCUUGCAUCGAUGAAGAACGCAGC
rnacentral:misc_RNA from 1 species